UCAGAGCGAACGCUGGCGGCAGGCCUAACACAUGCAAGUCGAACGAACUCUUCGGAGUUAGUGGCGGACGGGUGAGUAACACGUGGGAACGUGCCUUUAGGUUCGGAAUAACUCAGGGAAACUUGUGCUAAUACCGAAUGUGCCCUUCGGGGGAAAGAUUUAUCGCCUUUAGAGCGGCCCGCGUCUGAUUAGCUAGUUGGUGAGGUAAUGGCUCACCAAGGCGACGAUCAGUAGCUGGUCUGAGAGGAUGAUCAGCCACAUUGGGACUGAGACACGGCCCAAACUCCUACGGGAGGCAGCAGUGGGGAAUCUUGCGCAAUGGGCGAAAGCCUGACGCAGCCAUGCCGCGUGAAUGAUGAAGGUCUUAGGAUUGUAAAAUUCUUUCACCGGGGACGAUAAUGACGGUACCCGGAGAAGAAGCCCCGGCUAACUUCGUGCCAGCAGCCGCGGUAAUACGAAGGGGGCUAGCGUUGCUCGGAAUUACUGGGCGUAAAGGGAGCGUAGGCGGACAUUUAAGUCAGGGGUGAAAUCCCGGGGCUCAACCUCGGAAUUGCCUUUGAUACUGGGUGUCUUGAGUAUGAGAGAGGUGUGUGGAACUCCGAGUGUAGAGGUGAAAUUCGUAGAUAUUCGGAAGAACACCAGUGGCGAAGGCGACACACUGGCUCAUUACUGACGCUGAGGCUCGAAAGCGUGGGGAGCAAACAGGAUUAGAUACCCUGGUAGUCCACGCCGUAAACGAUGAUUGCUAGUUGUCGGGAUGCAUGCAUUUCG
rnacentral:rRNA from 1 species